GACAGAGGCCCCAAGCGUUUAGGCGGAAUCACUGGGCUUAAAGCGUGUGUAGGCGGACGCCUAAGUGUCUUGUGAAAUCCCACGGCUCACCCGUGGAACUGCUGGGCAUACUGGGCGUCUUGGGCCAACUAGGGGCAGCCGGAACAAGCGGUGGAGCGGUGAAAUGCGUAGAUAUCGUUUGGAACGCCAGUGGUGAAAACGGGUCGCUGGGGACAUGCUGACGCUGAGACACGAAAGCCAGGGGAGCAAACGGG
rnacentral:rRNA from 1 species